GUGAAUCAUCAAAUCUUUGAACGCAAAUUGCACUCUCUGGUAUUCCGGAGAGUAUGCCUGUUUGAGGGUCAGUAAAUAUAAAAAUCGGUGUGUUUGCGGUCUUUCGUGGUGACGCACGGGUUUUGGGUCGCCUUGCCGUCGGUUAAGUGACCUAAAAUUUUUCAUGAUUUUUUUCGAACGUAUUUAAAUGAUUUUACGUACGUUUGCGAUAUCGAAUUCUAGGUGUGGUCAUCCUCAUGUU
rnacentral:misc_RNA from 1 species